rnacentral:snRNA from 1 species
AUACUCUGGUUUCUCUUCAGACUGUAUAAAUCUUUCGCCUUUUACAAA